AGCCUCUUAACCACAAUCCCCUUCUGGCCGGUGUAUUCACAGGUGAACAAUUCAUUAGGUCUGGCUCUGACCCGUGGGGCUGAGUCAUCAUCAGUCAGACCGCCUGAACCUGUUCCUCUCUGGGAAGCCCAUACAAACCUAAUCCCUAAACUGACAACACUGAGGGCAAGACUCUGAACUUUGGUAACCCUGCGACAGGGCUGCUAGUCCCUGCUCCUGCUCAGAGCUGCAGACUGCCUCUCCCCGGGGCAGGAGGUGAGCUAUUGCAGAAAUCCUGCUCUGCCAUGGAGCGCGAGGGCUGAGGGCUUGGGCAGAGAGGCAGACAGACUGGUUUGAAAUCCAGCCCCUGAACUUAGUAGCCGAGCAACCCUGGCUUGGGCAAGAUUUUUUUUACCGCUCUGCCCUUCAACCCUUACCCGUAAAACGAAGACAAGAACAGUCUCCUGCUUGUUGCUGUCAGGAUAACAUGAAAAAACACAGCAAGCUUUCAGCCCGUGGGAGCCUUAUUAUCACUGCUGUCAUUACCAGUCUUAAGGGGAGGUGUAUACAACAAAGUGGGUUUGAAUCCUGGUGCCAUCACUUUUUAGCCAUGUGACUUUAAGCAAGUUUACUAACCUUCUCAAUUCCUCACCUUUAAUUUAGGAAGUUUCGGGGGGGAGGGGUGGGGGAGUCCGGUGCCCUCCUCCUUAAAUUAAAAUCAGCUUCUGUGAAGGAAUUGGGAAAUGCCAGAGGUAGGGGAUGAUUCUUGUCACGUAUGGACAGCGUCUGCCCUAAGCCGUGGUCUGUCAGGAGGCAGCCAAGGACUUCUGGACCAUCUGAAUCUCAUCAGAGCGUCCAGGGUGUGGUCUCCAGAGCGCGGCUGUGGCAGCUGGUCUGAAGCUUUCGACUAGUUUGUGUGCGUUUGAGCUGAAAGAAGACUGCUGUACGCAAGGAGCGUGGUGAGGAUGGUCGGCCCGCGGGUUUGGGAAAAAAAGGCCCCAGAGAAAGGCCACGUGUGUGCACGCUGCGCUGGAAGCCCAGCCUCAGGAGCUGAGAUGGGCAGCCCGCGGCAGUUCACGUCGCCAUGGCAAUGAGGGCCCUGGGUGAGGAGAGCUCCCUGGCCUGGGCUCUAAACCUCGGGUUCUGCUUCCAUGCCCCAGGCAGCGCUCACCACCUCACAGGGAGAAAAGCUCAGAUCAUCGGCACCCCAGUCUCUCGGGAACGUGUCAGAUUCUGAGUUGAUGUUAGUUCUGAGAUGCUGACCGGUCACUGACAACACGGAGUUUCUGGGCCUGCCAGGCUGAGAACUGGAUCCUGUCACACAGCAGCCCCACCAAGUUACUGCCACCCUGAGGCCCAGACUAGCUGGCAACUGACCUGGAGGGCACUGGUCUCCCAGUCACCUUCUUUAUCUGUAAUGAUACCUCCCUCAGGAUGUGUAAAGCAUUAAAUAUCUGUGUGUGGCAUACACUUGGUGCUCAACCAUGCUGAUUUUUUCCCCCAUCUUCUGUAAACCCUGUCACCUGCCUAGGCCAAGAGAUGCGAUUACCUUAAGGCCUGGAACUCUGCCUCCUGUUGCUCUGGUUUCUCUCCUUCGCUUCCCAGUAAGUCCCUAGGACUUGACUUGCCCUCGGUAGUUGUCUUAUCCAUGCUGUGGGUUCUCACCACCCUGACCUCUGCCCACACAUCAGUCAUGCCCUCCAGGUGUCCCCUGAGCCACACAGGGCAGCCACCCAGGGGAGCACAGCAGACUGGCAAAGCAUAGCACCCAAAUUCUGGAGCUGCCACCUACUCACCGUGGGACCUGGCUCCAGCCAUUCCCAUUUCUGAGGCUCUACUUCCUCCUGUGUGAAAUAACAGCUUUGGGCUAGUCCUCACAAGCUGUACUUGCGUGAAUGAGUCAUUCCAUCCAUCCAUCCAUCCACCCAUCCACCCAUCCACCCAUCGCACAAACUCUCAGCAACUUCUCAGUGCUGCCUUAGCUACAGCGUUAAGAAGACAGAGUUGAAUGGACAUGCCCCAGGCUUCAAGCCCUUCACACCACGGUGAAGGAGACAGACCUCCACAAAAUAGGAUGUACCCUCACCAGGGACAAGCGGUGUGACAAGAUGGCGGCAGGGGGCUCCCUCUAAGCGGCGCCUGGGUCCCUUGGCGUUGUGGUGGGCGCCCAGGAGCCAGUCCCGCUGCCGGCGGCGAUGCCUCCCCUCUCGGAGCAUUACUCAGCGCCCUGAAAUGUCUGCCUCUCUGCAGCACGGCCCCCUCGUCCUCCUGGAGCGCGGCACAAAGGUCCUGUUGUGGGCCUGCAGCCCAGGCAGCAGCCGGGCCUCGGGGUGACUCACGAUCUUGCCAUUUCCUUUGUGUGGCUCCCAGGAUCCUAGCUGGAAGCCGAGUGUGCGUCUGCCGGGCUGCGCUCCAGCGUCGCCCCUCCGGGAGGAGACAGCUCCAGUCCCGCCUUUCGUGUGGCGGGGGCGGCGGGGCUCCCUGCACGCGAGGCCACCCACGCCUGGAGCCUCGCCAGGACAGCGGUUGGCGCAGGGACCAAGAUGUUGCAGCCUGGCCUCGGCGAGGAUCAAAGCACCCGCUCUGGGGGUGGCAUGUGCUCCCCAUCAGGCGUUGCUCUGCUCCCCGCCCCCUAAACGAACCCAUCUUUAGGAAAAGUGAAAAUUAACCACGGAAGGAAAGGGCCCAUAUGGCUUGGGGAGAGACGUGGGCUGCCGGCCUCCCGCUGGUCUUUGGUUCCAGCUCAGAUGCCUUGUCAGCAGCAGCAGCAGAACCUGUGUUUGAAGGCAUCUUCACAGGCUUGGCUCAGGGCUUGGGCUCCUCGCACUUGGCGGCCUGGCCAAAGCUCGGGCUGGUGUGUAGCCAGAGGCAGCAGCCCCAGGGGUGCUUAAUGAAUAGUGAAGGAGCCAGUGAGCACUGGACUAGGAGCCUGGAGAUGGGUUCUUCCGCAGGUUAACUGCAUCACCUUCAGCAAGUUUUACCCGUAGAAUUUCAGGCAUCUUUCCAAGCAGGUCCCAAGUCACAGCUCCUAAGAUCCUUCCUGGUCUGGCUCCUGCCUCCUGCUCUGGCUUUAUCUCUGCUCACGUACCCCUUACACUUUACACUCCAGCCAGGCUGAGCAACUUGUCCUCAAGGGUCUCUGAGUCAGCUGGGGUGUCACCUCCUGCAGGAAGCUUCUCCCUGGCAUCUGGCAUUGGCGCUCCUCCUCUGCACAAUUUGGAGAACUUCUGCAAAGCCCUGUCAGAGCAGCCCCACCCCAGACUCUGCGAUUCCUGCUUGCUUACAUGAGGAGGGCGCUGAAUGAGCUCCUCAUGUGAAACUACAGGUGCUAUGGUGAGGCCAUUGCCCAGGACUGAGGAGGGAUCCACACAGCAAGAGAGGGUGCAGCUGGCAUCAAUCUUCGGGGUCAAAGCCAACUCACGAUUUGUAAUCAGACCCUUGAAACCAAAACCUACAUGGAUGUAAUGACGUUACAUCUUGGGCCAAGUCAGCAGACUGUCCUGAGAACAAUGCAGUAAGCAUCAAGGAUAAUCCCCACACUCCUGCAGUUCCUUAGGACUUGCAAACCUUUCACCAUCAAUAGUCUCAUUGGAUUUGAGGAGGUGGGGUGAAGAUAAUUUCUGCCCCUGUUUUAGAGAUGAGCCUACUAAGCUUGAGGGAAAUUGAGUCUUGCCUAAUAUCCCAUAAAGAGUAAGUGGGAAGAAAGAAUCCAGGUCUUCCUUCAACCAAUCCUCAAAGGCUGGUGAGUGUCAAGCACCACAAAGAUGAGGGAGAUGUGGUUCUUGCCACCAGGGAGCAGCCAGGAUUGUCAGUGAGACCCAAUAGAGCCCAAGAAGUGUUACUUUCAUGAGAGGAACAGGGGCCUACUGGAGUCCAGAGGACAGAGAGGUUUGUUCUGACUGUGAAGUCAGGGAAGGCUUCCUAGAAGAGGAGACUUUUAAAUGGGGCUUUGAAUGGUGGGUAAGAGUCUCCCCAAGGAUGUAAAGCACCAUCCUCUGGGCCUGACCAAAUCUCUGCGGCAUUGAACUGAUCCUCGUGUUCUGUAGGCAGCUCUCCCAGAGGGAGGAGGAAUUUGAGAAUCAUCAUCAGUUGAAUAGGAAACCGAGAUGGGUGAAAGGAGGUUAGCUGAGGGUUCUUUUAAGACAAGGGAUACUACAGCAUGUCUUAGGCUGAAGGCAAUGAUCCAGAAGGAAGGCAAGUAUAGUGCCCAAGCAUCAACCAGAGACAUCAGCCUGAACCUGCUUUGACAUUCAGUUUCCUCCUCUGGUGCCUUCUACAUGACUUAGUGGACUUGCACCUGGAUCCUUGGAUCCAUGUCCUCCAUCUUUAUUCUCUACCUUUUUCCCUAGUUCCUUAUCCUGUCCACUCCAGCAUCACCUCUACACAUUACUGGCAGAGCAGAGCAGAAAAAUCCAUCUAGUUAGGCUUGUCCACUCCAUUGAUUUAUCUCUUUGAAAGGAAAUGCAAAUUUAAGUAGAAGAUUCUAAGGGAGAUUGAGCCAACCUGCAUCUAGCCCUCAAUUCCCACAGACCCCAGAGACCCAUGUUUGGCAGCCUACAAGUGCCUCCCGUGAAACCACUGGGAAACAGUCAACACUUAGACUUGUAGAUCCAUAUUGUAGUCUCUGUAUCCUUCACUGCUUUUUGUAGACAUUGUUGUAUUAGAUUCAUUUAGGGAUGACAAUCCAACUAAUUACUACGAAGCAAUGCAACCGCCCCCCCCCCCCCAAAACUCCCUUCCUCCUGAAAGGGUGGACCCGGGAAGUCAUCGUGGUAUCAUGUACCACUGCUCCUCCUCAGUUGACUGGUCUGAGAAUGGAUACAUGGCAUUGGGCCACAGUCUGUGCCAACCC
ensembl:lncRNA